AGGCUAUCGUUUGAUGUAUAAAUUGAAAAAAUAACUUGUUUAUUUCAUUUAAAAAAUACAGAUUUUAAACUUUAAAUGACGAUAUAUACACGGAAACAAACUAAUUCUGUUUCAAUUUUUACACCGAUGUAAAGUUCAGUUUUAUAACUACUUUGUGUUGUAAAUUCAAGUAUUUCUGAUUUACGGUCGCGAAGCCGUACCCCCAAUAAACAUAUAACCCUCGAGUCGACUUUCAGCCCCGAGUAAGUUGCUCGCCGAACGGUUUUAAAGGUUGACGACCGAUGAUGCUAAACGGAUUUUACCCUUGCUAGAGCCUUCAAACAAGUUCUGGAGACAUUUACAGUGGCCUAUCCAGAACUUUCCUUACAAGGGAAGGGAAGAAGGCCAAGACCCCACUCCCCCCUACAAUUCCCAAAACAUAUUACUUACUCUUGAUGCUCCACAAGAUCAAGGUUGAGGGAAACAAGACGUACAAAGAUGUGGAGUUGUAGUUUUAAAAACUGUUCCCCCAAAGCAGUUAUCAACCGUAUAGGUUUGAAAAGAAACCAAAGCAUGUGGCAUCAACUGCUGCAUCACUUGUAGG